GAUGGAAUGUUUUCCCCUUGUCAAUUUGUGACAAAAAGGGGGAGAGAGAUAGUGUGCUUAAGUCUUGAUGGAAUUUUACUCAAGUCUUCAAGGAAGGUGCUUAACUUUUCAGUUUGGUUUUUGCUCUCCUAUGGUGUUUGAUAUACGUGGUUCAGAGAUAGUGUGGAUAUAGAUGGUAUUGGUGUUGAUAUAUAAUAUAUCCUCUUAUUGUGUUCAUAUUGUUGUGUGAAACUCUUGGAACUCUUAAGGGGGCUGCUUUUUGUACUCUUAAAAGGAGGAGCUUUGGGGCUCUUGGUCUUUUAAAAGGGAUCUGCACUUUGUCCUCUUAAGAGGGAGUUUCUUUGGUAAAUUUUGUCUCUCUGCUGAUUAUCCUUUUUCAGGAUAUAUGCUUGGGUUCGAUAUGGUCUUGGAGCUUAGUGAGUUCUUUAGUUCAUUGAUAUAAUUUCGCUUGUAUUGGGUAGGCAUUUCUUUUCUUUU
rnacentral:lncRNA from 1 species